CUUCCGUAGGGUGAACCUGCGGAAGGAUCAUUACCGAGUGCGGGCCCCUCGGGGCCCAACCUCCCACCCGUGUUGCCCGAACCUAUGUUGCCUCGGCGGGCCCCGCGCCCGCCGACGGCCCCCCUGAACGCUGUCUGAAGUUGCAGUCUGAGACCUAUAACGAAAUUAGUUAAAACUUUCAACAACGGAUCUCUUGGUUCCGGCAUCGAUGAAGAACGCAGCGAAAUGCGAUAACUAAUGUGAAUUGCAGAAUUCAGUGAAUCAUCGAGUCUUUGAACGCACAUUGCGCCCUCUGGUAUUCCGGAGGGCAUGCCUGUCCGAGCGUCAUUGCUGCCCUCAAGCCCGGCUUGUGUGUUGGGCCCCGUCCCCCCCGCCGGGGGGACGGGCCCGAAAGGCAGCGGCGGCACCGCGUCCGGUCCUCGAGCGUAUGGGGCUUCGUCACCCGCUCUAGUAGGCCCGGCCGGCGCCAGCCGACCCCCAACCUUUAAUUAUCUCAGGUUGACCUCGGAUCAGGUAGGGAUACCCGCUGAACUUAAGCAUAUCAAUAAGCGGAGGAA
rnacentral:rRNA from 1 species